AAGUCGUAACAAGGUUUCCGUAGGUGAACCUGCGGAAGGAUCAUUAUUGAAACAAAAAACGUUUUUGAAGAGGCAGGACAGUCAUGUCUUGUUCUCUUUCAAAAAUAAACCCCUUGUGCAUUUAAUAUGAACUCAUUUCCCUGAUCUCGGUCGGGGAAAGUUAUAUAUAAACCACUUUUUUAUUAUUUACUCUUAUGAUGUAUACCAACUUAUAAAUAAACAAAACUUUCAACAACGGAUCUCUUGGCUU
rnacentral:misc_RNA from 1 species